UUCCUCUAUGAGAUCAUUAUCAUUACCAUUUAUGACUAACUAUUCCUCUUAAGGAUAUCGGCUUAAAGAUAUAGUCCUUAAUAAAGUUUAAAACCAACAUUUCCCCACA